AACGAACGCUGGCGGCAUGCCUAACACAUGCAAGUCGAACGAGACGUCCGGGCCUUUUGGCGCACCGGGGCGUGCCGCGUGGUGAGCUGCCCUUAGGUACGGAAUACUUCACUGUGGGGUGUGCUAAGACCGGUUAAUGUCAUCGGACCAAGGAUUUUUCGCGUCGGGGUGGGCCCGCGUUGGAUUGGCUGGUUGGUAGUGUAAAAGCCUGCUAUGGCCAGGUUCCUUAGCUGGUCGGGUAGGAAGGCUAGCCACACUGGGACUGAGACACGGCCCAGACUCGUACGCAACGCAGCAGAGGAGAAUAUUGGACAAGGGGGCAAAGCGUGAUCAAGCAGUGCCGCGUAAGUGAGGAAGGCGUUAGGGUUGUAAAGCUCUUUUACCCGAGAUGAUAAUGACAGUACCGGGAGAAUAAGCUCCGGCUAACUCCGUG
rnacentral:rRNA from 1 species